UAACAUCAUCAUUUCUAUAAUUCCCACAAUUCAAUCAAAUUUCAUGGGUUUAACACCAACAUUUUCAUCUUUCUAACAAUUCAAUCAAAUUUCAUGGGUUUAACAUCAUCAUUUUCAUCACUCCCACAAUUCAAUCAAAUUUCAUGGGUUUAACAUCAUCAUUUUUUUAAUUCCAACAAUUCAAUCAAAUUUCAUGGGUUUAAAAUCAACAUUUUCAUCAUUCCCACAAUUCAAUCAAAUUUCAUGGGUUUAACAUUAUCAUUUCUAUAAUUCCCACAAUUCAAUCAAAUUUCAUGGGUUUAACAUCAUCAUUUUCGUCAUUCCCACAACUCAACCAAAUUUCAUGGGUUUAACAUCAACAUUUUCAUCAUUCCUAGUAUUCAAUCAAAUUUCGUGGGUUUAACAUCAUCAUUUCUAUAAUUCCCAUAAUUCAAUCAAAUUUCAUGGGUUUAACAUCAACAUUUUCAUCAUUCCCACAACUCAAUCAAAUUUCAUGGGUUUAAAAUCAACAUUUUCAUCAUUCCCAUAAUUCAAUCAAUAUUCAUGGGUUUAACAUCAUCAUUUCUAUAAUUCCCACAAUUCAAUCAAAUUUCAUGGGUUUAACAUCAUCAUUUUCAUCAUUCCCACAACUCAAACAAAUUUCAUGGGUUUAACAUCAACAUUUUCAUCAUUCCCAUAAUUCAAUCAAAUUUCAUGGGUUUAACAUCAACAUUUUCAUCAUUCCCAGUAUUCAAUCAAAUUUCAUGGGUUUAACAUCAUCAUUUCUAUAAUUCCCACAAUUCAAUAAAAUUUCAUGGGUUUAACACCAACAUUUUCAUCUUUCUAACAAUUCAAUCAAAUUUCAUUGGUUUAAUAUCAUCAUUUUCAUCAAUCCCACAAUUCAAUCAACUUUCAUGGGUUUAACAUCAGCAUUUUUAUAAUUCCCACAAUUCAAUCAAACUUCAUGGGUUUAAAAUCAACAUUUUCAUCAUUCCCACAAUUCAAUCAAAUUUCUUGGGUUUAACAUCAUCAUUUCUAUAAUUCCCACAAUUCAAUCAAAUUUCAUGGGUUUAACACCAUCAUUUUCAUCAUUCCCACAACUCAAACAAAUUUCAUGGGUUUAACACCAACAUUUUCAUCAUUCCCAGUAUUCAAUCAAAUUUCAUGGGUUUAACAUCAUCAUUUCUAUAAUUCCCACAAUUCAAUCAAAUUUCAUGGGUUUAACAUCAGCAUUUUCAUCAUUCCCACAACUUAAUCAAAUUUCAUGGGUUUAACAUCAACAUUUUCAUCAUUCCCACAAUUCAAUCUAAUUUCAUGGGUUUAACAUCAUCAUUUCUAUAAUUCCCACAAUUCAAUCAAAUUUCAUGGGUUUAACACCAACAUUUUCAUCAUUCCCACAAUUCAAUCAAAUUUCAUGGGUUUAACAUCAUCAUUUCUAUAAUUCCCACAAUUCAAUCAAAUUUCAUGGGUUUAACAUCAACAUUUUCAUCAUUCCCACAAUUCAAUCAAAUUUCAUGGGUUUAACAUCAUCAUUUCUAUAAUUCCCACAAUUCAAUCAAAUUUCAUGGGUUUAACAUCAACAUUUUCAUCAUUCCCACAAUUCAAUCAAAUUUCAUGGGUUUAACAUCAUCAUUUCUAUAAUUCCCACAAUUCAAUCAAAUUUCAUGGGUUUAACAUCAACAUUUUCAUCAUUCCCACAAUUCAAUCAAAUUUCAUGGGUUUAACAUCAUCAUUUCUAUAAUUCCCACAAUUCAAUCAAAUUUCAUGGGUUUAACAUCAACAUUUUCAUCAUUCCCACAAUUCAAUCAAAUUUCAUGGGUUUAACAUCAUCAUUUCUAUAAUUCCCACAAUUCAAUCAAAUUUCAUGGGUUUAACAUCAACAUUUUCAUCAUUCCCACAAUUCAAUCAAAUUUCAUGGGUUUAACAUCAUCAUUUCUAUAAUUCCCACAAUUCAAUCAAAUUUCAUGGGUUUAACAUCAACAUUUUCAUCAUUCCCACAAUUCAAUCAAAUUUCAUGGGUUUAACAUCAUCAUUUCUAUAAUUCCCACAAUUCAAUCAAAUUUCAUGGGUUUAACAUCAACAUUUUCAUCAUUCCCACAAUUCAAUCAAAUUUCAUGGGUUUAACAUCAUCAUUUUUAUAAUUCCCACAAUUCAAUCAAAUUUCAUGGGUUUAACAUCAACAUUUUCAUCAUUCCCACAAUUCAAUCAAAUUUCAUGGGUUUAACAUCAUCAUUUCUAUAAUUCCCACAAUUCAAUCAAAUUUCAUGGGUUUAACAUCAACAUUUUCAUCAUUCCCACAAUUCAAUCAAAUUUCAUGGGUUUAACAUCAUCAUUUCUAUAAUUCCCACAAUUCAAUCAAAUUUCAUGGGUUUAACAUCAACAUUUUCAUCAUUCCCACAAUUCAAUCAAAUUUCAUGGGUUUAACAUCAUCAUUUCUAUAAUUCCCACAAUUCAAUCAAAUUUCAUGGGUUUAACAUCAACAUUUUCAUCAUUCCCACAAUUCAAUCAAAUUUCAUGGGUUUAACAUCAUCAUUUCUAUAAUUCCCACAAUUCAAUCAAAUUUCAUGGGUUUAACAUCAACAUUUUCAUCAUUCCCACAAUUCAAUCAAAUUUCAUGGGUUUAACAUCAUCAUUUCUAUAAUUCCCACAAUUCAAUCAAAUUUCAUGGGUUUAACAUCAACAUUUUCAUCAUUCCCACAAUUCAAUCAAAUUUCAUGGGUUUAACAUCAUCAUUUCUAUAAUUCCCACAAUUCAAUCAAAUUUCAUGGGUUUAACAUCAACAUUUUCAUCAUUCCCACAAUUCAAUCAAAUUUCAUGGGUUUAACAUCAACAUUUUCAUCAUUCCCACAAUUCAAUCAAAUUUCAUGGGUUUAACAUCAUCAUUUCUAUAAUUCCCACAAUUCAAUCAAAUUUCAUGGGUUUAACAUCAACAUUUUCAUCAUUCCCACAAUUCAAUCAAAUUUCAUGGGUUUAACAUCAUCAUUUUUAUAAUUCCCAAAUUCAAUCAAAUUUCAUGGGUUUAACAUCAUCAUUUUCAUCAUUCCCACAACUCAAUUAAAUUUCAUGGGUUUAACAUCAACCUUUUCAUCAUUCCCACAAUUCAAUCAAAUUUCAUGGGUUAAGCAUCAUCAUUUUCAUCAUUCCCACAACUCAAUCAAAUUUCAUGCGUUUAACAUCAUCAUUUCUAUAAUACCCACAAUUCAAUCAAAUUUCAUGGGUUUAACACCAACAUUUUCAUCUUUCUAACAAUUCAAUCAAAUUUCAGGGGUUUAACAUCAUCAUUUUCAUCACUCCCACAAUUCAAUCAAAUUUCAUAGGUUUAACAUCAUCAUUUUUAUAAUUCCCACAAUUCAAUCAAAUUUCAUAGGUUUAAAAUCAACAUUUUCAUCAUUCCAACUAUUCAAUCAAAUUUCAUGGGUUUAACAUCAUCAUUUCUAUAAUUCCCACAAUUCAAUCAAAUUUCAUGGGUUUAACAUCAUCAUUUUCAUCCUUCCCACAACUCAAACAAAUUUCAUGGGUUUAACAUCAACAUUUUCAUCAUUCCCAGUAUUCAAUCAAAUUUCAUGGGUUUAACAUCAUCAUUUCUAUAAUUCCCAUAAUUCAAUCAAAUUUCAUGGGUUACAUGGGUUUAACAUUAUCAUUUUCAUCAUUCCCACAACUCAAUCAAAUUUCAUGGGUUUAACAUCAACCUUUUCAUCAUUCCCACAAUUCAAUCAAAUUUCAUGGGUUUAACAUCAACAUUUUCAUCGUUCCCACAAUUCAAUCUAAUUUCAUGGGUUUAAAAUCAUCAUUUCUAUAAUUCCCACAAUUCAAUCAAAUUUCAUGGGUUUAACACCAACAUUUUCAUCUUUCUAACAAUUCAAUCAAAUUUCAUGGGUUUAACAUCAUCAUUUUCAUCACUCCCACAAUUCAUUAAAAUUUCAUGGGUUUAACAUCAUCAUUUUUAUAAUUCCCACAAUUCAAUCAAAUUUCAUGGGUUUAAAAUCAACAUUUUCAUCAUUCCCACAAUUCAAUCAAAUUUCAUGGGUUUAACAUUAUCAUUUCUAUAAUUCCCACAAUUCAAUCAAAUUUCAUGGGUUUAACAUCAUCAUUUUCGUCAUUCCCACAACUCAAACAAAUUUCAUGGGUUUAACAUCAACAUUU
rnacentral:lncRNA from 1 species